rnacentral:rRNA from 1 species
UACGUAGGGACCAAGCGUUGUUCGGAUUUACUGGGCGUAAAGGGCGCGUAGGCGGCUUGUCAAGUCACUUGUGAAAUCUCUGGGCUUAACCCAGAACGGCCAAGUGAAACUGACAUGCUAGAGUGCAGAAGGGGCAAUCGGAAUUCUCGGUGUAGCGGUGAAAUGCGUAGAUAUCGAGAGGAACACCUGCGGCGAAGGCGGGUUGCUGGGCUGACACUGACGCUGUGGCGCGAAAGCUAGGGGAGCGAACGGG